AUUGUCUUCCACGUUCUUGGAUCAUCUGUAUUAUAACGACUAUUGAAGGCAUUGAUGUAGUAUACCCAUAAUAACCAGAUGAUCUUGAUACGCGGAAAAUUACUGGCACUAGUUGUCAAAUAGAAAUCCAUUUUGUGAUUAAAACGACUGAAUAUCUCCUGUAAUAAACUUUAUUUCGAUUCCAUAUUUUUGUCAGAGCGAUAGUUCUCAUAACCAAACAUAAUUACAAAAUUUCAACUAGUUUCAUAAAGAAUAACGAAAGAUAUAAUUGACUGAAUACAUC